AAGAAUGUAGUUGUGGGAAAAUGUAUGAGAAGAUGUUUUUUAAUUUUUUAUUCAUUUCUUCUUCUUCCCCAAAUGAAAGGUGCUUUCGGUGCUCUCUCAAUCUCAAGUGUGUUUCUCCUCUCUUAAUUAGAAAUGCAGAUAUGUUUUGGGUGCUAAAAAUAUUUUUAUAAUUUUUUUUUCGUUUCUUGUUCCCAAGAUGAAAGGUGCUUUCGCUUGCCUCUCAAUCUUAGAUGUGUUUGUCGUCUCUCAAUUCCAAAUGCAAAUAUGUUUUUGGUGCUAAAAUUAUUUUCGAAAAGGAAAGUAAAUUUAGUUUUCAGAUCUACCCCAAAAUAGACGUUCCUCGUUCUUCCUUUUAUAUCAGUUUGGUUCUGUUUCGAAAAAAAAAUUGAAGAGGUGAUAGGGUUUCUCAAACAAAACAUGUUUUGAAAGUGAGAAGGCUUGUUAAGACGAUGGACCGUUUGGCUGAAGGAUUGGGUGCCUACAAAAAGCGAAGUUUUUUUGUGUUGUCUCAUAACACGGUUAGUUGACAUGAGUGAAGUUAGUGAAGGUUGUGAAGUUAAUGAAGGUUGUGAAGUUGAAGAUUGUAGUGAUAUAAGUCAGCUAUGAGCUUUUGAUCACUUCUUGCUUGUGAAGAGAAAGGGUGCAAUUAUGAAAUCCAAAUUUCCAAGGUUGUUACGUUGGAUUGAUUACAAAGUCGGAGAUGUGUCAAUAAGAUGUAGUUUUGAAAAUCAUGUGAUUCUUCAUGAUGUUUGUCUGUCUAAGGAAGAACUAGGUCUCUUAGUUGUCAAAGAAGCUUUAUCAAAACGUGAUGGUGAGUGUGACAAAAGAAAGAGAAAAGACGAUGUCUCUGGUGGAACCCAAAAAAGGAGCAGCUUAUGGGUGUAAUUGAACAAUAAUAACAUGAUAUUGAUUUGGAGCCAUUUGUAAGUUAAAAGCAACUAUGGAUGAGAGGAAAACAAAAACAACUGAAGAAAAGUUUGAUGAAUUUGUUUCUCCUACCAAUUUGGGUGAAGAUCAUGUUCCAAAUGAAGAGCAGCAUAUCCCUGAAUGACUCACAUGAUGGAAGACUCUUGUGAAAUGAAAUGCCUUUACAAUUGAAGGGAAUGACUUACUUUCAAGGAUUGGCAGUUCUGAGGUAUUAUGUUACUCUUAAUGCUGUAACUUGGAAUACACUAGCAAAGGUGAAGAUGAAUUAGUAUAAGAUUCAAAUAAUGUAGAAGACAAAAAUGUAAAGAACAACAAUAUGUACAUGCGUAUGAGGAAUCAUUCAUGGUUACGGUUCAAAAGUUAUCUAAUCCAAAGUUCGUUUGUAGGGUAUGGUCCAAAGAAGAAAGGGAUACCAAAAUAGUUUUGCAAAUGGUGACGAGAGGAUGUGUCUGGUUUUUUGGUUUGGUGCAAAUGAAAUAUCAUUGCAAAUGUAUGAAACCUAUGGUUGUGUAGAAUUUGUUUUGUUGUGAAGAAUUGCAAUUGAUGAAUAUUGACUUUUGAGAAGUAU